AUUGCUUCUCGGCCUUUUGGCUAAGAUCAAGUGUAGAAACCAAAUAUGUUAUUGUAUGUUUUUCUUUGAGAGCUAUAAAUUUAACUGUGAAGCCAUCACCUGCAACAACUGGCAUCCAGUUCGAUGCUGGAUGCUGGAUGCUGGAUGACUGUUUGAGUCCCAGCUACUUCAU
ensembl:snRNA U2 U2 spliceosomal RNA